UGGCUGAAGAUGAUGCUUCCUUGGUCAAGCAAAUUGGCCAGAGUUUCCAGUAUUCUAAAAUAGAGGAAAGAAGGGAGGAACAAAUCCAAGCUGCUCAUGAUGAAGCCAUGUUUGGUGCUCCAGCACUUCCACCUCCUACCAGUACUGACAGUGAGCCUGAAAGGGAGAAUGAGAAAGAAGUUGAUAAAAAAGCUGUUGUUACAAGCCUCUUAAGUGAAACGGAGUGCUGAAAUGGUGACCAUAUUCUACCUUGAGGGCUCAAGAAUAUUUUGAUACAUAGAGACACUAAUCUAUGUUAGAACUUUUAUGUUUUGGUUGAACU